rnacentral:rRNA from 1 species
GAUGAACGCUGGCGGUAUGCUUAACACAUGCAAGUCGAACGAAAGCUUAGCUUUAGUGGCGGACGGGUGAGUAAUACAUAAGAAUCUACCUUUAGGAAGGGAAUAACUAUUGGAAACGAUUGCUAAUACCCUAUAUACUGAAAAGUGAAAUAAGAAAUUGCCUAAAGAUGAGCUUAUGUCUGAUUAGCUAGUUGGUAAGGUAAUGGCUUACCAAAGCAACGAUCAGUAGCUGGUUUGAGAGGAUGAUCAGCCACACUGGAACUGAGACACGGUCCAGACUUCUACGGAAGGCAGCAGUGGGGAAUUUUCCGCAAUGGGCGAAAGCCUGACGGAGCAAUACCGCGUGAGGGACGAAGGCCUGUGGGUUGUAAAC